GACGAACGCUGGCGGCGUGCUUAACACAUGCAAGUCGAACGGAAAGGCCCUGCUUUUGUGGGGUGCUCGAGUGGCGAACGGGUGAGUAACACGUGAGUAACCUGCCCUUGACUUUGGGAUAACUUCAGGAAACUGGGGCUAAUACCGGAUAGGAGCUCCUGCUGCAUGGUGGGGGUUGGAAAGUUUCGGCGGUUGGGGAUGGACUCGCGGCUUAUCAGCUUGUUGGUGGGGUAGUGGCUUACCAAGGCUUUGACGGGUAGCCGGCCUGGGAGGGUGACCGGCCACAUGGGGACUGAGAGACGGCGCAGACGGGUACGGGAGGCAGCGGUGGGGAAUAUUGCACAGUGAGCGGAAGCCUGAUGCAGCGACGCCGCGUGCGGGAUGACGGCCUUCGGGUUGUAAACCGCUUUCGCCUGUGACGAAGCGUGAGUGACGGUAAUGGAUAAAGAAGCACCGGCUAACUACGUG
rnacentral:rRNA from 1 species